UAGCCAUCGACCCUCUGAUGAGGAUGCCCCCUCCAACAGGCACCGCCAGGCAGCCCUGCCUGGAGACCCAGAGGCACCGAGUCACAUUUGCUCUGCACACCUGGCUCUCGCUUGAUGUGGGCCUGUGUGCUACAGCCCGGAACACAAAAGAAGACACCCAUGCAAAUACCAUUAAAAGUUUAUUGUUUUAUUUCAAUAUUCAGGAACAGUGUACACUUUCCGUUCAGCCAUCGUCACAGCACGUGCUGUGUGGGUGCGGCCACGUAUGGAUCGCAGAGCCGACCUCAGCUCAGCGACGCAGAGUGCUUCUGCUGAAAAAUUUGGAGGUUUGUGUCUGGAGUUUUGUUCUUUGUAACUCUCUCAUCAUCGAGGCUAUAUAUUAAUAGACAUGGUAUUAAGCCCACACGAAACAUUCAGAAUUAGAAUUGGAUUAAGAAGACGCGUUUUGGCAUCACGCUGACUACUCCUCAUCUCCGUCCUCGGGGAGGGUGAUGCCAGCGUGGGACUCUUUGGAAGGCCUAUCAAUCACAGGUGCACGCCUGUGCCUACUCGCUACCACGCGUCUUCUGGGAGGAAGUGAAUGAGCCGGUUAUCUUCUCAGGG
rnacentral:lncRNA from 1 species